ACAAGUAUAAUUUAAGGGUAAAAUGUUAGCCUUCCAAGUUAAAUAUGCGAGUUCAAGUCUCGUUACUUGUUU
rnacentral:tRNA from 1 species